rnacentral:rRNA from 1 species
GGACUACCGGGGUAUCUAAUCCUGUUUGAUCCCCACACUUUCGUGCCUCAGCGUCAGUUACUCCUUAGUAAGCUGCCUUCGCUAUCGGUGUUCUGGACGAUAUCUAAGCAUUUCACCGCUACACCGUCCAUUCCGCCUACCUCAUCAGUACUCAAGUUUCCCAGUAUCAAUGGCACCUCUCCAGUUGAGCUGAAGUAUUUCACCACUGACUUAAAAAACCGCCUACGCACCCUUUAAACCCAAUAAAUCCGGACAACGCUUGCCACCUACGUAUUACCGCGGCUGCUGGCAC